rnacentral:misc_RNA from 1 species
UGUUUGUAGAUGGCGGCCGGGGAGAAAGGGUUGAUCCUUCGAGGAAGGAAUUUAGUUUUGCAUCGACUAUGAAGAGUUUGGAGACAUCACAACACGACGAGAGUUCAAUGAACAUAUUAUAAACCACCAGGGAUGCAAUUUAAUGCAUCUAGAACGUCCAUGGUCUCUGAAGUUGGGCCUACUAACUGCUAACUGCCUGUGCGGGUGUGAGUGGCCUGUAAGAUGGGGAAUUGUAUGUCAUGCUGUAAGACUAAACUAAUUUUGUUAAUG